UCGGGGCGCACCAGGCGCGAAAACUUUACAAUGCUGGCAACAGCGAUAAGGGGACCUCGAGUGCCAGGAUACAAUCUUGGCUGUCGCGAUGCCUAAAAAGCAUUGCAUAGCAAGGGCCGGGCAAGACCGGUGCCAGCCGCCGCGGUAACACCGGCGGCUCGAGUGGUAACCGCUAUUAUUGGGUCUAAAGGGUCUGUAGCCGGCCGGAUAAGUCUCUUGGGAAAUCCAGCAGCUCAACUGUUGGGCUUUCAGGAGAUACUGUUCGGCUCGAGACCGGGAGAGGUGAGAGGUACUUCAGGGGUAGGGGUGAAAUCUUGUAAUCCUUGAAGGACCACCAGUGGCGAAGGCGUCUCACCAGAACGGAUCUGACGGCAAGGGACGAAAGCUAGGGGCACGAACCGGAUUAGAUACCCGGGUAGUCCUAGCCGUAAACGAUACUCGCUAGGUGUCAGCCACGGUGCGACCGUGGUUGGUGCCGUAGGGAAGCCGUGAAGCGAGCCACCUGGGAAGUACGGCCGCAAGGCUGAAACUUAAAGGAAUUGGCGGGGGAGCAC
rnacentral:rRNA from 1 species